UUUUCACUAGGAGAUGGAGGAAUCGAGGAAGGUAAGCGAUUUGCUCAAAAGAGAAAGGGCCCGGCAGUGAAGGAAUCAGGGAUAGUCCCUCUUCCACCUUUGGGUGCAGCGCUGCCCUUGCUCCUGAUGCACUCCAUACACGGAAGGGGCGGGCCUAUGCGCGGGCGGGGCAUGAAGUGCUCGCUGGGCCUAAGGCAUCAAAGUUGCUGCCGCAGCCAUUUUGGUCUGCUCUCAGAAGGGGCCGAAGCGGUGGUGUGCCGGUCCUGGGCCAGUGGGGUCCUGCCCUCCCGGGCCCUGUCAGUGAGGGCGGGAGGAUGCAACGCGGAAAAGUCCGGCGUCCCUGACACGGCGGCGGCGCUUUCCCUGGCGCCGGGGGAGAUGGACUCUGGAGCCCGCCAGGGCGGUGGCGCCUUAGGACUAUCCCGCGAGUAUAAAUUAGUGAUGCUGGGAGCUGGAGGCGUAGGCAAGAGCGCUAUGACCAUGCAGUUCAUAAGCCACCGGUUCCCAGAGGACCAUGAUCCUACCAUUGAGGAUGCUUAUAAAAUACGAAUACGGAUUGAUGAUGAACCUGCAAAUUUGGACAUUUUGGACACAGCAGGACAGGCAGAGUUUACAGCCAUGCGGGACCAGUACAUGAGGGCAGGUGAGGGAUUUAUCAUCUGUUAUUCAAUCACGGAUCGCCGCAGUUUUCAUGAAGUGCGUGAGUUCAAACAGCUCAUCUACCGUGUUCGGCGCACUGAUGACACUCCUGUGGUUCUUGUGGGGAACAAAUCUGAUCUGACGCUGCUACGACAGGUGACUAAGACUGUCAAUAGAAAAUAUUGCGACUGGGGGCUCAGAAAUAAACAAAGUUUGUAGUACGCUCAUAACUUCUGGUGGAUUUAGCUUACUAGCUGGAGGCUUAGAAGAGAAGAACAAACUAUGCGUCAGGUGGAGUGCAGUAAACUAUUAAUAGGCUGGAGAAAAUAGCUUCUACCUGAGAGGCCAGUGAUAUCCAUUUUCGGUAAAUGUCUAGCUUUCAGCACCACAACAGUCAUUCUCUGCGCAACAGGCUGGUAAGACAGUGAGACUUGCAGCUCUCCUCUGCUAAUGCAUUUCUGUGGAAAAGAAGCAGAUACAACUGGGAAGACCUGGGAGGUAAUGAACAGGCUGCACAUAGAAGAAUUUAACCUUACAAAUAAAAAUGCAGCUACCUCUAGGACGAGACACAAUAACUUUUUAAUAGAGAACCGCAAAAAUUUACCACAUCUUAGAGCAGGAAAUUAAGAAGAGAAUCCCAUAUCCAAUUGAAACUAGAGCUGAGUAACAAAAAUAGACCAACCACUAAAGGAAAAAUCAGAAUUGGAAUGCAAGUACUUAUACUUCUAAAUAGCCCCCUUGGGUUUGCUUGCAGAGCCUAUGAGGAGUAAACCAAAAUGCUGGAAUUUGUACAUUUAUAUUUCAACUCAUAAAUUACAGGGGGGAAAACCAUCUCAUACUCCAAAACUAUUCAGCAGUUUCUGCUGUCUGAAAAUUGUAUUUAGUUUUGCAAUGCUCCUAAGGAGUUUAUUUUCAAAAAUCAUGCACAGAAAAUUUUAAGUAAUACUGGAUAGACUGAAUUUUGAUUCAUGUGAUGCUCUCACUCCAUAUAUCAUUCAUAAACAUAAAUCACAGCUUACUAGAUAACACUUUAUUAGUAGUAAGGAGCGUGUAACGGGCUGUUUCCUACCAAAGCCUUUGAGGAGGAUUUGGGACUGCAGUCUGCUGACAUUAUGUCUUGUCCUAGUUUCAUCCUUUAAUUCUCCACACUUAUUUAUUGUACACAAUUUCAAGGUGCCCAUUACAGUAGUAUCUAGGAACAAUUUACAUAAUUUAAGGAAUAGAAUACGAUACUUAAUCAGUUAGGGAACAACAGAUGCACUCCAUCCUGCAGCCACCACUGUUUCUUAAAGGAGACUUGAUCCAAGAGAGAGCUAUCCAUGACACUAAUUCUCAGUGGGAAGUCCAACUCACAGUCAGGAGACAAUCUGCCAAACUGAUGCAAAUUGCCUAAUAUCCUAAAGGCAGCAAGACACAGGGUCUAACUGUUCUGGCAGCAGAGGCAGGGCUAGCCCACUGGGGGACCCUAAGCACAAAUAUUUUGGAGCCCCCUUGCCCCUCACCCAUCUCUUGACAAUACUAAUUGUAUUAUUUCCACAAAUCAAAGAAUAUACCUACCCAACACAUACAAGUCCACAUUAAAUAUAAGAAUAGUAUUUUGGGGCCCCCUUGAACUGCUGGGCCCUAAGCAAUUGCUUAGUCUCCUUAUACCUAGUGCCACCACUGUCUGUCAGAAUUAAAUUUCAGACUACAGGAUCCAAUACUAAAUGCAGUGCUCUCCUGUGGACCAAAUUCUGUUGCAUGAUCUGAGACCUCUGUGUCACUCUGGCAACACACAGAGGCCAGGAAGGUGCAGCAACUCUCUCUAAUAGGGGGAGUUCCCAGCUAGUUCUUCCUAUGCUAGGGCUGCAAUGGUAUGACUGUGCUGGAGGGGACAAGGUAAGAAUACCAUGGCACUCUGGCUACUCAGAGAUGCCAUAACAGACUAUUGGGGCUAUAGCCAGCAAGUAUACUUUAGAAUAGCCUCUUUCCAUCCCACAGUGGAUACUAGGCACAGCUGAAAAAUCUAGCCCUGCAGUUUCAGAUUUGCAGAGGAAGAUUCAAACAUCUUCAUUAAUCACAGCUGCCGUGGCAGGAUAAAGGUAUCUGAUAUGGUGGCUGGUUUUAAGACCUAAACUGUUUAAGGUUUUAAAGCUCAAGGCAACAUUUUGCAUCCAGAAGUAAAAUGGCAGACAAUACAGAGUGCGGCGAUCUGCUAUAUUCUGCACUAGUGCAAGUUUCUGGGUAGUCCUUAGGGAUAGCCUCAAGUAGUGUGUUCAGUAACCUAGCCUGAAGCCAAUAGUGACGUGGAUGACAAUCUCUGCUUCUGAAAGGAAUUAAUCUCUUGGCCUGCAGAAAAUGAAAAAGACGUAUAUAUGGACACUGCUGAAAUGAAUUUAAUAAGAUCUCAGACGUAUACACAAUCUUGAGAAUUGGAGGACAAACCACCCUCAACUGGAGUGAGGUCACAGCUUCUGCCAGCCCCUCAAAUACUUUCUCUUGCUAAUAAGUGGUUAGUUUUCAUUCUGGAUCUUUGUUCAGCCAGACAAUAGGAUAGAGAAAUAGCACUGAGUGCAUGGCGCAAAGAAAAGAGAAUAGUAGCAUAUUGAUGGCACUGCAGCACAUAGCAUCUCGUAUGAGAUGUGGUUCUCCCCCUCAGGCAGAGGGGGUACUUGAAGCAGGGGUCUCCUACAUUCCAGGGCAGUACCCUAACCACCUGAAUAAAAGUUAUCAGGGAAGUCUUCCUUCUAUCCUCCCCACCUAACAGCUAGGCACCUACUGCCAAGAGAGGGUUUGCAGCUGAGUAUCCAAAGCAGAGAUAGGUGCAUAUCUGCAGGUUGCCUAUAUCUGAGACAGGAUGGGGCUUAGCGCACACCUUUCUCAUCAGCAUCUCCCACUGGCUAACUUCCAUGUCUGCCUGCCUAAUGUGCUGGCUUUUGUGAAUUGCAGUCUAAGGUGCCUAGCUCUCCCCAUUCAUUAAAUAGGAACUCAGGCACCUAACUCAGUUAAUGGCAGUGAUUUGCUAGGUGCCAAAAAGUUAGGCAUGGUGACACUGAGCAUCAUCAUGCCUAAACUCCUUUUGUGCAUUCAGGCCCCAGUGAGUUAAAGAUAAAAAGAAAUCAAUACUAAACUACUUUCAAUUUAGAAAUGUACAAGAAAACAAAUCAACGUGUAUUAAACUUUCUUUACCCAA